rnacentral:rRNA from 1 species
UACGUAGGGUGCAAGCGUUGUCCGGAAUUAUUGGGCGUAAAGAGCUUGUAGGCGGUUUGUCGCGUCUGCUGUGAAAUUUCGGGGCUCAACCCCGAACUUGCAGUGGGUACGGGGCAGACUAGAGUGUGGUAGGGGGAGACUGGAAUUCCUGGUGUAGCGGUGAAAAUGCGCAGAUAUCAGGAGGAACACCGGUGGCGAAGGCGGGGACUCUGGGCCGAUACUGACGUGAGGAGCGAAAAGCUGGGGGAGCAAACAGG